rnacentral:rRNA from 1 species
AGUGGCAGACGGGUGAGUAACAUGUAGGUAUCUGCCCUUUGGCCUGGAAUAACACGAGGAAACUUGUGCUAAUACCGGAUAAGUCUUUACGGAGAAAGCUUUACGCACCAUUGGAUGAGCCUGCACUUGAUUAGUUUGUUGGUGGGGUAAUGGCCUACCAAGACUGUGAUCAAUAGCUGAUUUGAGAGGAUGAUCAGCCACAUUGGGACUGAGACACGGCCCAAACUCCUACGGGAGGCAGCAGUGGGGAAUCUUGCACAAUGGAGGAAACUCUGAUGCAGCGAUGCCGCGUGAGUGAAGAAGGCCCUUGGGUUGUAAAGCUCUUUCGUCGGGGAAGAAAAUGACUGUACCCGAAUAAGAAGGUCCGGCUAACUUCGUGCCAGCAGCCGCGGUAAUACGAAGGGACCUAGCGUAGUUCGGAAUUACUGGGCUUAUAGAGUUCGUAGGUGGUUGAGAAAGUUAGUGGUGAAAUCCCAGAGCUUAACUCCGGAACUGCCAUUAAAACUUUUCAGCUAGAGUAUGAUAGAGGAAAGCAGAAUUUCUAGUGUAGAGGUGAAAUUCGUAGAUAUUAGAAAGAAUACCAACUGCGAAGGCAGCUUUCUGGAUCAUUACUGACACUGAGGAACGAAAGCAUGGGUAGCGAAGAGGAUUAGAUACCCUCGUAGUCCAUGCCGUAAACGAUGUGUGUUAGACGUUGGAAAUUUAUUUUCAGUGUCGCAGCGAAAGCGAUAAACACACCGCCUGGGGAGUAC